rnacentral:rRNA from 1 species
UACGUAGGGGGCUAGCGUUGUCCGGCUUUAUUGGGCGUAAAGAGCGUGUAGUCGGCCAGGUAGGGCUGCUGUGAAAACUCGAGGCUCAACCUCGAGACGUCGGCGGAAACCAUCUGGCUAGAGUCCGGAAGAGGAGAGUGGAAUUCCUGGUGUAGCGGUGAAAUGCGCAGAUAUCAGGAAGAACACCCGUGGCGAAGGCGGCUCUCUGGGACGGUACUGACGCUGAGACGCGAAAGCGUGGGGAGCGAACAGG